AGAUUGAACGCUGGCGGCAUGCCUUACACAUGCAAGUCGAACGGCAGCACGGACUUCGGUCUGGUGGCGAGUGGCGAACGGGUGAGUAAUAUAUCGGAACGUACCCUGGAGUGGGGGAUAACGCAGCGAAAGUUGCGCUAAUACCGCAUACGAUCUACGGA
rnacentral:rRNA from 1 species